rnacentral:rRNA from 1 species
GAGUUUGAUCCUGGCUCAGAUUGAACGCUGGCGGCAUGCUUUACACAUGCAAGUCGAACGGUAACAGGGAGCUUGCUCCGCUGACGAGUGGCGAACGGGUGAGUAAUGCAUCGGAACGUACCCAGUCGUGGGGGAUAACGUAGCGAAAGUUACGCUAAUACCGCAUACGUCCUGAGGGAGAAAGCGGGGGACCGUAAGGCCUCGCGCGAUUGGAGCGGCCGAUGUCGGAUUAGCUAGUUGGUGGGGUAAAGGCCUACCAAGGCGACGAUCCGUAGCGGGUCUGAGAGGAUGAUCCGCCACACUGGGACUGAGACACGGCCCAGACUCCUACGGGAGGCAGCAGUGGGGAAUUUUGGACAAUGGGGGCAACCCUGAUCCAGCCAUGCCGCGUGAGUGAAGAAGGCCUUCGGGUUGUAAAGCUCUUUCAGACGGAAAGAAAACGCAUCGGUGAAUACCCGGUGUGGAUGACGGUACCGUAAGAAGAAGCACCGGCUAACUACGUGCCAGCAGCCGCGGUAAUCCC